AUGCGUUGGGAAACUGCCCAGUCGUGGGGGACAACCAUUGGAAACGAUGGCUAAUACCGCAUACGCCCUACGGGGGAAAGGAGGGGACGUCUUCGGAGCCUUUCGCGAUUGGAGUGUAGCCCAAGUGGGAUUAGCUAGUUGGUGAGGUAAAGGCUCACCAAGGCGACGAUCCCUAGCUGGUUUGAGAGGAUGAUCAGCCACACUGGAACUGAGACACGGUCCAGACUCCUACGGGAGGCAGCAGUGGGGAAUAUUGCACAAUGGAGGAAACUCUGAUGCAGCCAUGCCGCGUGUAUGAAG
rnacentral:rRNA from 1 species